ACGAGAUAGCCUACUACAUCUCUUUGGUGGGAGUGAGUGAGGGGGACGACAAAAGCUCUGGGUGGAUGAGCAGGCAGAAAUAUUAACAGCUUGAAAGAAAGAGAAUGAAAAUGGGUAUGUUUAGAUAAAAUGCUUGUUAUUGUUUUUCUCGCAAAAUACUGAAAAAUAUUACGCUAUUCAUAAAUGUAUUGCCUUUGGUGCGCGCGCUGACGGAAUUUCCCGCGCUCUUCUGAUACAACAGGAGCCACCAGUGCUCCAGUAUCUUCCCACAUCUGUAAGUGAUUGUCUGAGGAAGGCAGGAGGAGCAGUGACGAGAUGGAUGAGGGGUCCAGGAUGGCUGAGGGGAAGGCUGCCUUUGUCUUUGUCCUCCUCCUCUUCAUCGCCCUGGCCUUGCUCAUCGUGCGCUGCUUCCGCAUCCUGCUGGACCCAUACCGCAGCAUGCCCUCCUCCAACUGGACAGACCACACAGAGAAGGACACGUUUGACUACCGCAUUGUCUAAGGAGGACCUAAGCAGCUCCCUCGACACUGUAUUGCAGUUGAAGCACUGACAACUAUUGCAAUGCUCGAGGAGCAACUUUGUUUAUCCAUUUUGCCCAAGGACCACAUGCUAUAUGACUGCCGGUGCCAAACCACCAGGGACCCCUUUGUAUUAGAUGCAGCCUUCGAGCAUGCAUCACCUAAGGCCUUUGUCUGCUCUAUUGUAACAUGUUAUAUCAAUUCCUUCACCAAUUACUGCAGUCAUGAGCAGUAAUAGCCAGCCCUUAUCACCCUAAUGACAACACAUACGAGUGAUUCCAUACGAAACCAGGGGGGAAAAAGGCCAUCAUUUUGCUGAUUAAAAAAAAGAAAAGAUUUCAUCCAUAGAAUGGUCCUUUGAAAGAAUGAUUGUUGACAUAUAUUUGACAUUUGUAUCUAAAAGCAUAAUUGAAAAAUAAUUGAUCAAAGUUGUCAUAUUUAUGACAUUUUGGCCAUACUCAGGCCUCCUUAAAUACGCCAUCAUGUUUAAUCUGUAUGGGCUGCAAAGAUGAAAAUUUGUGUAAUAUUGGGGUAAUAAUUGGUGUAACCGCUUGCUCUGUAAUAUGAGUAGCAUUUAUAUUUAAAAAUGUUUUAUGAAUGUUGAAAGAACAACAUUUUUGAUUUGGCACAUUUGUUUUGAUAUUGUUGAACAUAAUACUCUACGGCCCUCCCACAUAAGGAACUCCCUUAAUUGAAAGGAAAAACCAAAAACCUGCAGACACUCGGCCCUCCGUGGAAUGAGUUUGACACCCCUGCUCUACGGGCAUAUCAAAGUUCCAGAGUGGGAUCUAUGCUACUUUUAUAGUUAUGAUCCAGUUUAUUAACAUUACCAAAAUGGAAUCAAAAUGGUCGACCUCUGCUGGUGAUUUGCAUGAUGUGCAAUGAUGCAAGUAAAAGGAGGGCUGUGAUUGGUUACAUUGCCUGCUGUGCCAAUUUCUCUAUAUAAAAUGGGCUAUAAAAUGAAAACUAGCAGAGAUCUCACUCUGGAACUUUGAUAUGCCCCUAGAGUAUAUUAUGUUCAACAAUAUAUUGAAACAUUUGCCAAAUACAUAUUUUUUUCUAUAUUCAUGUUUUAUAUUUUCAAUAUUCAUGUUUAUAUUUUUCAAUAUUCAUAAAUGAAUGUACAAAAAUGUUAUUGAAAUGUUAAUACUACUCAUAUUACAGAGCAAGCAUUAAAGUUUCAUAUGACACCAAUUUUUGCUUUUUAGCAUCUACAGAUGAAACAUUAUGGAGUCUUAAAGGAGGCCUGGGUAUGGCAAAAAUGCCAUAAUAUGGCAACUUUGAUUCAGUAUUUCUCAAUUAUGCUUUUAGAUACAACUGUCAAAUAUAUGUCAACAAUCCUUCCUCCAAAGGACCAUUCUAUGGAUUAAAUGUUGCAAAAAUCCCCAAAUCAUCAUAUUUUGUUUGUUCUGGUUUCGUAUGGAAUCACUUAUAAGGAACAUCUUCUACCAAGUAGUCUAACACUAUAGGCAUCACCUAAGGUACCUGCUGUAACACCUAUCAAAUCUAUCUCCUGAAGACACUCUCCAGGCAACCUUGUUGCCACUACUAUUGCAUCAUAUCACUACCCCGUCCCCUUAACCUUCCUUGGUAGUCUUAAACAAACCUAGUUAGAAAAAGAAGUGAACACCUCACACACAUGGUUAUGGGUUUAAAAAAAUAAGACACCUUUACCAUGUCAGAUAUAGAGUUGAAAUAUAUUCAAUUUUGAGUUUGCAUCUCAAUAUUACAUUUUAUAGACAUCACAGAGUACUGAAAUAUAACACAACCGUUUGACAUAGCAACACUGGAUGUUUAUUAAUUAUGAGAAAUAUGAAUAACAUUCCACCCAUGAGACCACUUUUGGUCAUUUGACUGCUGGAAAGGGCUACAGGUGCUCUAUGCAACAAUUCCUCCUGCAAAUAGGCCUACAUUUCAAUUGUGUACUUGUAGUAGUAAAGGAAUAAAACUCCAUGUAAGAACAAGAAAAACAUUUGAAUGCCGUUUGAAGCUAUAAAGUUGCUUGUUUGCUGCAAGUUCCUCAGUGUAUACAGUGGAUUUUUUUUACUUCAAUUGUCCACUUUGGCUAAGGUACAAAAUGCACAAACAAUCAAUCAAGCAUUGCUCCAAAAAAAAUACACUUACACAGAAAAGACAAAUGUGGUUACAUUUAUGCCAACCAGCGCCUUGUGCACUCACAAAGACCCUCACCCUCAUUGAGCUGGUUAAUACUUUUUGAAAUUGGAAGACAGAUAUUUCCUUUAACAUCAGCCAGCCUAUAACAUACCAUUGAUAUUCAGAUCCAUAUCUUUGUCACCCAAGUUAUUUGUUUUCUUGCCAUCACGGAAAGAGAGGUAGACAAUGUUUCAAAGUAUCCUUUAAAGAGACUUCAUUGUUUUUUGGGUGGCUUCAGUGGGCCUUAGAUGUUUGAUGUCAGCAAUGGGAUAAGUGUUAACUAUUCAAUGUCUGCAAUCAAAAAAAUGACAAAUAGACAACUUUGUCACUUUUUAUGGAAAGGAUCCAGAGUCAUAAAUCUGAAUGACCAAAUGAGGUUUAUUGAAAUGUUUACUGUGCCGUAACUUGUGCCUAAUUAUGAACAUCUAGAUGAGCAUUUUAGGGAAAUGAGUCGAAAAGAUUCAUACCAGUAGUUCUGUUGUAGAUAGCAUCUUGCUAUAGUUCUAUGUAAUAUCAUUUUCAUAUCUGAAAUAAAAUAAGCAUAUCACUGCCCACAGAUGGCAUGUUAGCAGUGUGCUACAUCUGAACAGAUUAUCACACCUUGGACUAUCCCUUUAUGGACAAUGUCUGUGUCUCUUAAUUUGGGCAACUCCUUAACUGUACGCCUUAUAGAGUAGCAUGUUUACAGAUAGUCAAUAGCUGACAGAAAAAUAUGUUAUGCACUUCAAGCAGAUGUCAUACACCUACCAAAUGAGUGUGCUUUCACACUUUGACAUGUGAUGUUCUUGUGAUAUACUGUGGUCUUUUCCUAUCACAAUGUAUCAGUUUAGUGGUACCUUUCUGUGCACAAGUGUCUGCAUGUUUUUGCAAAAUUUCCCCUCCAAGCAUGUUGAGUGCUUUACACAUGUUGAUGCUGCUGUUAUUUAGUUGGUACAGUACAGUAUUCACUGUCAACGUUUGAGCCUUCUUUUGAAUGUGUAUUACGCUUGCCUUGAGCCUCUUUCCUUUCAUAAUAAAAGUAAUUACGAUGCAUUA